UGGUGCCAGCAGCCGCGGUAAUUCCAAGCUCCAAUAGCGUAUAUUAAAGUUGUUGCGGUUAAAAAGCUCGUAGUUGGACUUGUGUCCCACGCCGUCGGUUUCGUCGCCCGUCGACGUAACCGCACGGUUAUGUGAGUGGGACGUCCAGCCGGUGGGUCGUCUGGUCCCGCUCAUGACUGGCCGCACGCCCGGGUGCUUGUCCGGCGGUGUCCGUUGGUUUGCGUGGCCGCGUGUCGGACGCGUGCGUCCACAUUCGUGUGGGCGUUCGCUCUGGCCCGGCACUCUCUCCUCGGCCCGUCAUCUAAAGGACUCGCCCCGAUCAGUCGCGUCGCCGCGUCGGUCGGCGGGGUGCCGGACCCAUGUUACUCGUCUCGGUGCUCUUAAUCGAGUGUCUUGACGGGCCGGCUCGUUUACUUUGAACAAAUUAGAGUGCUUAAAGCAGGCCGAUUGCCGCCUGAAUAUUGUGUGCAUGGAAUAAUGGAAUAGGAUCUCGGUUCUAUUUUGUUGGUUUUCUGAACCAGAGAUAAUGAUUAAUAGAGACUGACGGGGGCAUUCGUAUUACUACGUUAGAGGUGAAAUUCUUGGAUCGUAGUAAGACGAACCUAAGCGAAAGCACUUGCCAAGAAUGCUUUCAUUAAUCAAGAACGAAAGUUAGAGGUUCGAAGGCGAUCAGAUACCGCCCUAGUUCUAACCAUAAACGAUGCCAACUAGCGAUCCGCCGGUGUUCCUCCGAUGACCCGGCGGGCAGCUUCCGGGAAACCAAAGUGUUUGGGUUCCGGGGGAAGUAUGGUUGCAAAGCUGAAACUUAAAGGAAUUGACGGAAGGGCACCACCAGGAGUGGAGCCUGCGGCUUAAUUUGACUCAACACGGGAAACCUCACCAGGCCCGGACACUGGAAGGAUUGACAGAUUGAUAGCUCUCUCUUGAUUCAGUGGGUGGUGGUGCAUGGCCGUUCUUAGUUGGUGGAGCGAUUUGUCUGGUUAAUUCCGAUAACGAACGAGACUCUGGCCUGCUAACUAGUCGCAAACUCUGACGACAUCCGCAUUCGUGCUGUCGGCGACAAACACAAACUCUUCUUAGAGGGACAGGCGGCUUCUAGCCGCACGAGAUUGAGCAAUAACAGGUCUGUGAUGCCCUUAGAUGUUCUGGGCCGCACGCGCGCUACACUGAACGGUUCAACGUGUGUCUCCCCUUGACCGAGAGGUCCGGGUAACCCGCUGAAAUCCGUUCGUGCUAGGGAUCGGGGCUUGCAAUUGUUCCCCGUGAACGAGGAAUUCCCAGUAAGCGCGAGUCAUAAGCUCGCGUUGAUUACGUCCCUGCCCUUUGUACACACCGCCCGUCGCUACUACCGAUUGAAUGAUUUAGUGAGGUCUUCGGACAGUCGCGCGGCGGCGCCCGCAAGGGCCCGCCGAUGUUCGACGGAAAGAUGAUCAAACUUGAUUAUUUAGAGGAAGUAAAAGUCGUAACAAGGUUUCG
rnacentral:rRNA from 1 species